rnacentral:rRNA from 1 species
UGAGGAAUAUUGGUCAAUGGACGCAAGUCUGAACCAGCCAUGCCGCGUGAAGGAUGAAGGUCCUCUGGAUUGUAAACUUCUUUUAUCUGGGACGAAAACGGGAUUUUUAUCUCAAUUGACGGUACCAGAGGAAUAAGCACCGGCUAACUCCGUGCCAGCAGCCGCGGUAAUACGGAGGGUGUGAGCGUUAUCCGGAUUUACUGGGUUUAAAGGGUGCGUAGGUGGGCUUAUAAGUCAGUGGUGAAAUCUCCGAGCUUAACUUGGAAACUGCCGUUGAUACUAUAGGUCUUGAAUUAUCUGGAGGUAAGCGGAAUAUGUCAUGUAGCGGUGAAAUGCUUAGAUAUGACAUAGAACACCAAUUGCGAAGGCAGCUGACUACAUAUAAAUUGACGCUGAGGCAUGAAAGCGUGGGGAUCAAACA